UAGCAACCUCAAAGGCCAUGAACUUCACUCAUUCUCUGCAUUCAUUCCCAUAUUGUGCAGACAUUCAGAAUUAACAAGGGGGAAAAAAGAAGGAAGAAGAAAUGCAGAUAUCAAACUGGAUUCUCGUUAUAGACUUAUAUAUCCCAUGAAAUAUAAUGAUAUAUAGCCCUAUAACAUGACAAAUUGUCUUCAAAUCUAAAUUAGCAAAUGCCAAAACCAAAUCUCUCUCUAGAAUAACUAUUUGUUUAAAUCACCACGGCAUAUUUUUGCUAAACUGAGGUUGAAUCAGUGCCUG
rnacentral:misc_RNA from 1 species